CGGCUGAGUAAAGCGUAAGUAAUCUGUCCUUAAGUGGGGAAUAAUUCACCGAAAGGUGGACUAAUACCGCAUGUGGUAGUGGAGGUAGGUUUUCACUACUAAAGCUUUCGGGCGCUUGAGGAGGGGCUUGCGUCCUAUCAGGUAGUUGGUGGGGUAACGGCUCACCAAGCCAACGACGGGUAGCUGGUCUGAGAGGAUGUCCAGCCAGACGGGGACUGAGACACGGCCCCGACUCCUACGGGAGGCAGCAGCAAGGAAUUUUGCGCAAUGGGCGAAAGCCUGACGCAGCAACACCGCGUGAGGGAAGAAGGCCUUCGGGUUGUAAACCUCUUUUGUUAGGGAAGAAUAAUGACGGUACCUAAUGAAUAAGUCACGGCUAACUACGUGCCAGCAGCUGCGGUAAUACGUAGGUGGCAAGCGUUAUCCGGAUUCACUGGGCGUAAAGAGCGCGUA
rnacentral:rRNA from 1 species